rnacentral:lncRNA from 1 species
CGAUGUGGUGGCUUCAAAAUUAAGUUCUUUAAGCCUAACUUGGCUUUAUGAAAUACAGAAAUGAAAGCGUAGAUCUUCUGUUAUAGCUACAGUUGGGUUUCCGCUAGACCCGAAAGUCCAAAGUAAAGGAAAUCAAUGCAGCUUUAUGUUAGCCUUCCUUGGUGCAUGAAGGUGUCAGUGAAAUGAGAGAGUCCAGUUUGGCUGAGCCUCUCUAGCUUACAAAAUCCUAACCCAGGCUUCCUUGAGUGUGGGACCUCUUUGCU